GGUUCUAUAGUCUAGUGGUUAGGACGUUCGGUUUUGAGAAAAAACCUCCGAAAAUCGCCGGUUCGAACCCGGCUAGGACCU